CUACGGGGGGCAGCAGUGGGGAAUAUUGCACAAUGGGCGCAAGCCUGAUGCAGCCAUGCCGCGUGUAUGAAGAAGGCCUUCGAGUUGUAAAGUACUUUCAGCGGGGAGGAAGGGAGUAAAGUUAAUACCUUUGCUCAUUGACGUUACCCGCAGAAGAAGCACCGGCUAACUCCGUGCCAGCAGCCGCGGUAAUACGGAGGGUGCAAGCGUUAAUCGGAAUUACUGGGCGUAAAGCGCACGCAGGCGGUUUGUUAAGUCAGAUGUGAAAUCCCCGGGCUCAACCUGGGAACUGCAUCUGAUACUGGCAAGCUUGAGUCUCGUAGAGGGGGGUAGAAUCCAGGUGUAGCGGUGACAUGCGUAGAGAUCUGGAGGAAUACCGGUGGCGAAGGCGGCCCCCUGGACGAAGACUGACGCUCAGGUGCGAAAGCGUGGGGAGCAAACAGGAUUAGAUACCCCUGUAGUC
rnacentral:rRNA from 1 species